CUGCAUCCUCAAAACUCUUAGUUGUUUUUCUAUCACAAUACCCAGGUAAUAAGAAAUGCCAAAUAAAGGCUCCAGAGAAUUCCAAAGUGCUGAGCUCUGCUCGUACUCUUCAUUAUUUCACAUCUCUGACAUGA